CUGAGCUUGAAUCUGUGUGAGGAACUGAGAGAGAGAGAGAGAGAGAGAAAAUGGCUGAAAAUGGAGGGAGAAAGCAGCAGCAGAUGGGAGGUCUUCAAGAGAGUCAUGCUUAGUGGUCUCCUAUGGCUUGGAUGCACAGCUUGUAUCCACCAGGAGCUGUGCAUUCAGAAUUGUGAACCCAAUUCUUGGAACUUCCUUCAGGCUGAGAUCAGACAGGCAUCUUCCCUUUUGAACUUCCAGUGCUGUUUAGAGACUAUGGUGUUAAGCUGUAUAUACAUUGCUGAAAUCCAUAAAAUAUAAAAAUGUUAAACCAGUGGAGAAGGAAGAAAAGAAGGCAUCAUCCAAGUAUACCCAUGGGGGAUGGAUUGUGUCUUUGGUUCUCCUGUGUUAUCAUAAUGGACAAUGACAACAAUAAUAAUAAUAAUUUCAUCUAAUACUCUGUAGUACCAUUUGUUUUCUGGUUAUAUUGUCAUUUAUCACAUGCUUCUUUCAAUAUCCUCAGAAGCACAUCUUUACUUUGAUUUGGGUAAUACACACAUUUAUUUAAAUUUCAUUAAUUAAUUAAUAGUAAAAAGCAAAUGGCUAAACAACUAAAUAUCUUUAGUCAGUUGACAGCCCUAUUACUAUCCUCUAUGUGUUAAACAAUUCAACCAAUAUGCUAAGCCAUAGUAUAAUGUAGUCCAGCCCACUCCCCAGCUUUGGAAAGAAAAAGGGGCUAUAUUUUGAAAAACCGACAAAUGAUUUUGAUUGCCUCCAUUAUUUUCAUAUUCCAUUCAGCACUUUCUGAAAAUUACUCCCUUUUGAAAUCUGUCUGAUUUGGCAGCCAAAAACCAAAGUACUCAAAACCAUAAAACGUUAAAAAAAAAUGGAAACUAUGCUUGACAUUUCCCUAAAAAAUAUACUCCUUUCCACAUAGAUAUGACUUGCUUGAGGGUAACAUCAAGAUCUGGUUCGUACUAGCAUGUUCAUUACUUGAUUGCAAUAGCAAGGGAUGGGUUGCAUCGUUCUUAGACAACUGCAGACUCUCAAAGGGCCAACACUCUUGCUUGGAGAUGAGUGCUUCUUCUUUGCUCCCUGACAUCCCUCCUGACAUGCUCCUUGUGCCAUUGGACUGGUGAGGCAGACUGGGAGGCACUUGGUUCCUCAGGCCCAGGGGAAGAACUUAAAAAAAUAAGAAGAGCCUGACGUAGCAGGCCAAUGAUCUAUCCAGUCGCGUCCUGUUCUCACAGUGGGCAACCAGAUGCCCAUGGGAAGCCCGCAAGUAGGACCUGAGUGCAACAGCCUGUGAAGAAAGGUGCCUGUGAAUAUCCCAGUACUACUUCUGUGGCACCUGGUGCUGUGGGAUCAAGUUCAGCAGCCUCCAGUAUCAGACUCAAAGCCAGGAACCUGAUCCAUCCCAUCAGCCAGUGGCCUUGUGGCUUCUGUUUCAGUCUGCUUGUCACUGCUAGACUCCAGGGUCAUAACACCAGUUUUCCCAAUGGAGGGAUGUAGGAAGUGAGAUAGAAGUAGACAGAGAGAAUCUUUUCUCUCUUUCUCAUAAUGCUAGAACAGGGGAACAUCCAGUGAACCCACAGUGGGAUAUAUGGGACUUACAAAAUGAAAUACAUCUUCACACAGCAGAUAGUUUAACUAUGGAAUCUGCUACCACAAGAUGUACUGAUGGCCACCAACGUGAACUACUUUAAAAGACGAUUAAACAAAUAAAUGGAGAAUAAGGCUAUCAUAUCCCAAUGUUUAAAUUCUCAGUCAGCCAUGAAGUUUGUGGGUGGGCUUGGCCCAGUCACUAUCUUUCAGCUUAGCUUACCUCAUAGGAGGUUAAGUUUAGUAGGGGAGAUAAAAUCACGGAUGUUGCUCUGAGUUUCCCUGAGAAAGGAUAGGAUAUAAAUAGCAGCAGCAGCCUUUUCGCAUGUUCUCUUUAGAAAGCAAAAUAUAAUGCCAGUGAAGAAUAUUUAUAUUGAGUUUAUAGCUCUUUUCUUGAAAUUUGGUUUCUCUGUUGCUCCAAUAUGCUUUUUUAUAACAGCUAGCCAGGACAUAGCCUGGGUCAACAUGACCAGGGUCCAACUCAUCCCUUAUAUACGAAGUUGGUCAGUGCAGUCUGCCAGAGAGCUUCUCUUGCAAGUUCCAAAGAUGUCAGAAGAAGAACAUAGAACAGGGCUUUCAGUGUGGCUGCCCCUGUUCUGUGGAACAGCAUUCCUGUUGAGAUUCAACAAGCACCAGCUAUCUGCACGUUUCAGAAACAACUGAAGAAAUUUUUGUUCAAUGGGGUAUCCCAGCUGGAUGAAUGGAUCUUUGCCAUGGGUGGCUAUUUUUUUUUUUUAAAUAUAAAACUGCUUUUUUGUGUUUUAAAUUGUUUUUAGCUGUUUUCAUUGUACAUCACCUUGAGAUGCUUGUGUGGAA